AGUGAACGCUGGCGGUAGGCCUAACACAUGCAAGUCGAACGGCAGCACAGUAAGAGCUUGCUCUUACGGGUGGCGGGUGGCGGACGGGUGAGGAAUACAUCGGAAUCUACUUUUUCGUGGGGGAUAACGUAGGGAAACUUACGCUAAUACAGCAUACGACCUACGGGUGAAAGCAGGGGAUCUUCGGACCUUGCGCGAUUGAAUGAGCCGAUGUCGGAUUAGCUAGUUGGCGGGGUAAAGGCCCACCAAGGCGACGAUCCGUAGCUGGUCUGAGAGGAUGGUCAGCCACACUGGAACUGAGACACGGUCCAGACUCCUACGGGAGGCAGCAGUGGGGAAUAUUGGACAAUGGGCGCAAGCCUGAUCCAGCCAUACCGCGUGGGUGAAGAAGGCCUUCGGGUUGUAAAGCCCUUUUGUUGGGAAAGAAAAGCAGUAGGUUAAUACCCCGCUGUUCUGACGGUACCCAAAGAAUAAGCACCGGCUAACUUCGUG
rnacentral:rRNA from 1 species